rnacentral:rRNA from 1 species
CCUACGGGGAGCUGCAGUGGGGAAUAUUGGACAAUGGGCGAAAGCCUGAUCCAGCCAUGCCGCGUGUGUGAAGAAGGCCUUCGGGUUGUAAAGCACUUUCAGUGGGGAAGAAAGCCUUGGGGCUAAUACCCUCGAGGAAGGACAUCACCCACAGAAGAAGCACCGGCUAACUCCGUGCCAGCAGCCGCGGUAAUACGGAGGGUGCGAGCGUUAAUCGGAAUUACUGGGCGUAAAGCGCGCGUAGGCGGUCUGAUAAGCCGGUUGUGAAAGCCCCGGGCUCAACCUGGGAACGGCAUCCGGAACUGUCAGGCUAGAGUGCAGGAGAGGAAGGUAGAAUUCCCGGUGUAGCGGUGAAAUGCGUAGAGAUCGGGAGGAAUACCAGUGGCGAAGGCGGCCUUCUGGACUGACACUGACGCUGAGGUGCGAAAGCGUGGGUAGCAAACAGGAUUAGAUACCCUGUAGUC